rnacentral:lncRNA from 1 species
AUUUUUCAGAGUAAUGAUUCUCACUGUGGAGUCAUUUGAUUAUUAAGACCCGUUGGCAUAAGAUUACAUCCUCUGACUAUAAAAAUCCUGGAAGAAAACCUAGGAAAUAUUCGUCUGGACUUUGCACUUGGCAAUGAAUUUAUGGGCGCUUUGGAAUCCUGCAGAUAUAAUAAUGAUAAUUAAACAAAACACUCAGAGAAACUGCCAACCCUAGGAUGAAGUAUAUUGUUACUGUGCUUUGGGAUUAAAAUAAGUAACUACAGUUUAUAGAACUUUUAUACUGAUACACAGACACUAAAAAGGGAAAGGGUUUAGAUGAGAAGCUCUGCUGUGCAAUCAAGAAUCUCAGCCACUCAUUUCUGUAGGGGCUGCAGGAGCUCCCUGUAAAGAGAGGUUAUGGAGUCUGUAGCUUCAGGUAACCACUGAUCCACUUCCAGUCACUAUCCAUGAGUUUUUAUUUCCAAAUACAUGAAAUCAUAUGAAUUUCUGGUUUUUCCUGUUGGAGCCCAAGGAGCAAGGGCAGAAUGAGGAACAUGAUGUUUCUUACCGACAGUUACUCAUGACGUCUCCAUCCAGGACUGAGGGGGGCAUCCUUCUCCAUCUAGGACUGGGGGCAUCCUUCUCCAUCCAGUAUUGGGGGUCUUCCUCCUCCAUCCAGGACUUGGGGGUCAUCCUCCUCCAUCCAGGACCUGAGGGGUGUCCUUUUCUGCGCUUCCUUGGAUGGCAGUCUUUCCCUUCAUGUUUAUAGUGACUUACCAUUAAAUCACUGUGCCGUUUUUUCCUAAAA